UCAGUUCGGAUUGUAGGCUGAAAUCGCCUACAUGAAGCUGGAGUUACUAGUAAUCGCAGAUCAGAAUGCUGCGGUGAAUGCGUUCCCGGGUCUUGUACACACCGCCCGUCACACCACGGAAGUUGGGGGCGCCCGAAGCCACUUAGCUAACCCUUUUGGGAAGCGAGUGUCGAAGGUGAAAUCAAUAACUGGGGUGAAGUCGUAACAAGGUAGC
rnacentral:rRNA from 1 species